UACGGGGGGGGGCAAGCGUUGUUCGGAAUUACUGGGCGUAAAGGGCUCGUAGGCGGCCAACUAAGUCAGACGUGAAAUCCCUCGGCUUAACCGGGGAACUGCGUCUGAUACUGGAUGGCUUGAAUCCGGGAGAGGGAUGCGGAAUUCCAGGUGUAGCGGUGAAAUGCGUAGAUAUUCGCAAGAACACCAGUGGCGAAGGCGGCUUACUGGUCCGGUUCUGACGCUGAGGCGCGAAAGCGUGGGUAGCAAACGGG
rnacentral:rRNA from 1 species